rnacentral:rRNA from 1 species
UACGUAGGAGGCGAGCGUUGUCCGGAAUUACUGGGUGUAAAGAGCUCGUAGGCGGCUUGUCGCGUCGUCCGUGAAAACCUGCAGCUCAACUGCAGGCUUGCGGUCGAUACGGGCAGGCUGGAGUUCGGUAGGGGAGAGUGGAAUUCCUGGUGUAGCGGUGAAAUGCGCAGAUAUCAGGAGGAACACCAGUGGCGAAGGCGGCAUCCUGGACCGGCAUUGACGCUGAGGCGCGAAAGCUAGGGGAGCAAACGGG